rnacentral:pre_miRNA from 1 species
ACACCUACCACCUGGGCAGCUGGUAAACAGGUAGAUUCUGGGUCUGCAGGUUUGGGGUGGGGCCUGAGUUUCUGUAUUUCUAACCAAUUCUCAGGUGAUGCCAAC